UACAGAGGUCUCAAGCGUUGUUCGGAAUCACUGGGCGUAAAGCGUGCGCAGGCGGUCCUGCAAGUCUGGAGUGAAACGUAUGAGCUCAACUCAUGCAUGGCUCUGGAAACUGGAGGACUGGAGAGCAGGAGAGGGCGGUGGAACUCCAUGUGUAGCGGUAAAAUGCGUAGAUAUAUGGAAGAACACCAGUGGCGAAGGCGGCCGCCUGGCCUGUUAACUGACGCUGAGGCACGAAAGCGUGGGGAGCAAAUAGG
rnacentral:rRNA from 1 species